rnacentral:rRNA from 1 species
CACGUAGGCGGCCUGGUAAGUCAGAUGUGAAAGCCCGGGGCUUAACCCCGGAAGUGCAUUUGAUACUGUCAGGCUUGAGUAUGGGAGAGGGAAGUGGAAUUCCUGGUGUAGAGGUGAAAUUCGUAGAUAUCAGGAGGAACACCGGUGGCGAAGGCGACUUCCUGGACCAAUACUGACGCUGAGAUGCGAAGGCGUGGGUAGCAAACAGGAUUAGAUACCCUGGUAGUCC